GACGAACGCUGGCGGCGUGCUUAACACAUGCAAGUCGAACGGAAAGGCCCUGCUUUUGUGGGGUGCUCGAGUGGCGAACGGGUGAGUAACACGUGAGUAACCUGCCCUUGACUUUGGGAUAACUUCAGGAAACUGGGGCUAAUACCGGAUAGGAGCUCCUGCUGCAUGGUGGGGGUUGGAAAGUUUCGGCGGGUGGGGCUGGACUCGCGGCUUAUCAGCUUGUUGGUGGGGGAGGUGCAUGCCAAGGAUGUGGCGGGUAGCCGGCAUGAGAGGGUGAACGGCCACCUUGGGCCUGAGAUACGGCCCAGAGUCCUACGGGAGGCAGCAGUGGGGAAUAUUGCACAAUGGGAGGAAGCCUGAUGCAGCAACGCCGCGUGCGGGAUGACGGCCUUCGGGUUGUAAACCGCUUUCGCCUGUGACGAAGCGUGAGUGACGGUAAUGGGUAAAGAAGCACCGGCUAACUACGUG
rnacentral:rRNA from 1 species